CCAACCAAUUCGUAUUCCAAUUAAACUAAAUAAGUGCAGACUUUCUUACUCAUAAUAUCUAUUUUCCCCAUUUCCUGGCUUAAAAAAAAUUUUUUUUCAGGUUGAUAUCCACAUUAAUGGAGAACAUGUUGAAACCUUUCAGGAAGAUCUCACCUUUACACUGGACACAUUGACUCCACCAAACUUACCCAAGAUAGAUGAUGACCUAAAAGUGGCUCACUGACUUAUCGCGUAGAAGAUCUGGCCUAUACAAGAAGUGGGGACAAAGGCAGCUCUGUGAAUAUAGAGCACAGGCUUCGGACGCGCAGGCCCAGCGGCCAUGGCUCAUGGGCCCAGCCGCUCCGCGGCAUGUGGGAUCUUCCAGUACCGGUGCACGAACCCGCGUCCCCUGCAUCGGCAGGCGGACCCUCAACCACUGCGCCACCAGGGAAGCCCUAAAGCUCAUAGUCUUUUGAAGUUAAUAUCCUUCAUUUGAUUUUGCAUCUAUCUUCCAUCCCCUUAUAUGAUAUAUGCUUAGUUUCAAAAAGUAAAGGAAUGAAAAUAAAUUUUCUUAUAAUUUCAUAAUACCCCUUGAGAUAAUUACAGCUGACAGAUAAAACAAGGAAUGCCUUGUAAAAUCUGAAUUUCAGAUAAACAAUGAAUAAUUUUUAGUAUAAGUAUGCCCCAUACCCUAAAUUAGACAUACCUAAAUCUGGCAACCCUAAAUUAGAGGAACUCUGGACAUUGCCAAAACAGGGAGAAUGACAUUCACUGCCAGGAGACUCACUCUGAGGGCAGCAAUUUGACGCUGUGUUCCCACCAAGUCCCCCCAUCUCUCCCAUCCCCACCUGACACACAGUAUCCUCACUGAGUCAGAGUAAGAUACUUCAAAUUAUCAAGUCAUCUUGAUCGAUCUUCAGCAUAAGUGCUUAUGAAUGUGCUGUUUUGUAUACAAUAGACAUCAUAACACGGCACCCUCUCAUAACACGGCACCCUCUCUACUACCCGUACUUAAAAAGAUUUCUAACUGCUCAAGCAAUGGAAGAUUAUUUCCAGCAUAUUCUGCAUAAAGAACCGCCUGAAGGGAAUUCAGUUAUAAGGUAUGGUUCAUCUUAAGUGAUUGAAUUACCACAUCUAUAUUUAGGACUUAUAAAUAGGUGAGGGUGUUGAUUUUGAAUUAAGAGAUCAAUAGCUUUUAUUUUGAUCCUAGGACUUUUAUCUUUUGCCCACAUUAUGGGAAGAACAAAAAAGCAGAAGACUUGAUCUUUAUUCUUCAAAAUGAAUUGGUGGUGUUGCUAAAUUGGCAUGCUUUCUACACCUGUUCAAUUGACAAGAUUUGGAGCAUCUAGAGGUCAACAUGAGACCCUUUGAUACAUGUUGAACUGGGUGGUCCAAAUACUAAACCUGGGAGAUGGGAGAGAGCUGUGUGCCAUGGGCUAGGGAAAAACCUGAUGGAAAAUGUUAUAUUGGCCCUUUAAAUGUUGCCUCAGUUUCAGAAUCUUAAUAUAAUUUAAUCACAUGCCAGAGAAUAUUUAUUAAUGAAACGUAAAUUUCUUUUGGUUGCUCAAUCUAAGUGAAAUGUAAAUAGUCUAACUUUUUUAAAAUUAGAGUUUUUAAAGACAUAAGAAAUAUAUUAAAAAUA